CCUACGGGGGGCAGCAGUGAGGAAUAUUGGUCAAUGGCCGGGAGGCUGAACCAGCCAAGUCGCGUGAGGGAAGACGGCCCUACGGGUUGUAAACCUCUUUUGUCAGGGAGCAAAGGGCGCCACGUGUGGCGCUUUGCGAGUACCUGAAGAAAAAGCAUCGGCUAACUCCGUGCCAGCAGCCGCGGUAAUACGGAGGAUGCGAGCGUUAUCCGGAUUUAUUGGGUUUAAAGGGUGCGCAGGCGGAAUGUCAAGUCAGCGGUAAAAUUUCGGGACUCAACCCCGUCGUGCCGUUGAAACUGGCGUUCUUGAGUGAGCGAGAAGUAUGCGGAAUGCGUGGUGUAGCGGUGAAAUGCAUAGAUAUCACGCAGAACUCCGAUUGCGAAGGCAGCAUACCGGCGCUCAACUGACGCUCAUGCACGAAAGCGUGGGUAUCGAACAGGAUUAGAUACCCGUGUAGUC
rnacentral:rRNA from 1 species